AGCGAACGCUGGCGGCAGGCCUAACACAUGCAAGUCGAACGAGCCUUUCGGGGUUAGUGGCGGACGGGUGCGUAACACGUGGGAACGUGCCUUUAGGUUCGGAAUAACUCAGGGAAACUUGUGCUAAUACCGAAUGUGCCCUUCGGGGGAAAGAUUAAUCGCCUUUAGAGCGGCCCGCGUCUGAUUAGCUAGUUGGUUGAGGUAAUGGCUCACCAAGGCGACGAUCAGUAGCUGGUCUGAGAGGAUGAUCAGCCACAUUGGGACUGAGACACGGCCCAAACUCCUACGGGAGGCAGCAGUGGGGAAUCUUGCGCAAUGGGCGAAAGCCUGACGCAGCCAUGCCGCGUGAAUGAUGAAGGUCUUAGGAUUGUAAAAUUCUUUCACCGGGGACGAUAAUGACGGUACCCGGAGAAGAAGCCCCGGCUAACUUCGUG
rnacentral:rRNA from 1 species